rnacentral:misc_RNA from 1 species
GACUUGGGAAGCUCCGAGGUCGAAAGGAAUCAACGGUUGGAGAAUCUUAUGGCAAGGAGAAGAGCCCUGAAGAAAAUGAGGCUGAUGAUGACCGAAAAGAAUUUGAUUGACUUGGAAAGUGCUGAUCUUCCAUUCAACAUCCCGUCCAUUUCUACAGCAAGAAACAAUCCAUUUGAUGUUGAUAAUGAGUACUAUGACCUUGGACUGCCACCAAUCCCCGGGUCUGCUCCAUCUGUUUUAGUACCAAGGCGAAAUCCAUUUGAUCUUCCUUAUGACUCAAGUGAAGAGAAACCUAAUCUUAUGGAGGACGAACAAGACUUUAUAACAGUUCAACCAAAGGAUCCACUUUUCCGGAGGCAUGAAAGUUUUAUCGUAAGACCCUCAAUCUUCGGGCUGAACAGGCAAGACAAGCAAGAUAGCCAUUUGAGACCCUAUUUUGUUCCGGAGAGAAUGGCUACAGAGGGAACAAGCUACUCACCAUUUCAAAGACAAUCUAGCGAACUUAGUGAUUCGAAGGUGAGUUCUGUUCCUGAAACAGAAUCACUAAGUUCUGUUGAAGAUCUGGAAGACAGUAACCUCAUUGAAGGGCAGCUCAGACACAAAAGCCUUGAUCAAGAAGAACUGGAAUGCAGAAACCUCAUGGAUGAACAUAUCUCUGAGGAGCCAGAGCAUACUUCUGAGCAUGUCAAACAUGGAAGUCAAUCCUCCGAAGAAGUAGAGUCUUUGGUGCAGCUAG